CUGCUAACUCUGGAAUACUCUAAAGUUUUAUCAUUUUCUCUUGAUGCCUCCAGGUCUCUGAAUGCUCUAAUCUCCCUCCUGGCUGACAGUACGGGCUCCCCAGUGUACAGUAACUAUUUUUCCUGUAUCGAGAGAGCAUAUGGAGAGAAGAAGGAAAACACAUGUUUCUAAUUUCACUGACACUGGAGCAAGAGAUACUGGAGAUCUCUCUGCAUCCUGGCACCAAACCCAAACCAGUAACUCUGGGACAUUCUUGACUGAGGGUUAACCUCAGAAACCUGGUAAUCCAUAUGAUCCCACAGCUAUGCCUCAUGGCCCAAAGGGCAGGAUUUCAUCUCCACCGUCCUUUUCUUCAACGUGAAGGGCUGUUGACCCUACUCACAGAGGGCUCUGUGUUGAACCAAGGUGCUUCAUGCAACAGUCCCAGCUGAGCUCCCAGCAGAUGCCAGCACCAUUCGCUAUCCAUGAUAAGCCUCUGAUGCAAUCACUUGUGUUAAGAAAUUGAGAGAAUGUUGAUAUAAACUGCUCCCUGAGCCAUAUGGAAAGCUGUAUCUUCUGCAGGUUGCUUGGUGAGUAUGCAAGGAGUACAAGGUAUAUUUAUUCACUUUGAGAAGUGUUUCUCUAAGAAGGUAUCCUGAAAUAUUUUCUCCUGCUACAGGGAUAGCCCUUAACAAGGAAGUCACUUUCCUUGGGCACACAUAGACAGGGCUCCUUCAGCAGACAGCAGAUAGAUAUGCAAUGCAGGCCUUGUUUUUUUGUGAUGGUCCCAAUGUAUCACUGGAUAAGUCUGUCCAAUUCUGGGGUUUGUUCAUAGGAAACCCAUGUGCCACCAAAUCUAUGUCACAUUCUCCAGUAUCACCUUUAU
rnacentral:lncRNA from 10 species